CACAUUACUCGCACCAGAAAACCAACAAAUCCAAACCCUAAUCCACUCUCUUUUCUCCUCCGCUCUCACACUCCACACUCUCCUCGCUCUCUCUGUCACAACGCUCCGACCACCAUGUCUCACUUUGGAAGGUCAGGACCUCCGGACAUCUCCGACACCUACUCCCUCCUCGUACUCAACAUCACUUUCCGCACAACCGCCGACGACCUCUUCCCUCUCUUUGACAAGUAUGGCAAGGUCGUCGACAUCUUCAUCCCCAAAGAUCGAAGGACUGGCGAGUCCAGGGGUUUUGCCUUUGUGCGUUACAAGUAUGCCGAUGAGGCUCAGAAGGCCGUCGAAAGGCUUGACGGAAGAAUGGUUGAUGGUCGGGAAAUAACUGUCCAAUUUGCAAAAUAUGGCCCCAAUGCGGAGCGCAUUCACAAAGGAAGGAUUAUUGAAUCAAUGCCAAGAACAAGGCAUAGGUCAAGGAGCCGCAGCCCAAGGAGAAGGUACCGUGAUGAUUACAGAGACAGGGAUUACCGUAGGAGAAGUCGUAGCAGAAGUUAUGAUAGGUAUGAACGUGACCGGUACCGUGGGAGGGACAGAGAUUAUCGUCGUCGAAGCAGAAGCCGCAGUGCCAGCCCUGAUUACAAGAGUCGAGGGAGGGGGCGCUAUGAUGAUGAUGAUGAUCGUCGUAGUAGAAGCCGGAGCCGAUCGGUGGAUAGCCGCUCCCCUGCACAUAGUCCUAGUCCUCGAAGGAGUCCUUCACCCCGCAGGAGUAUGUCUCCUGAAAGGAGUGCAUCCCCGAGAAGUCCUAGAGGUGAAAGUCCUGAUCAUCGUAGCCGUGAUGGACGAUCUCCCUCACCUCGCAGUGUCUCACCGCGUGGUCGCCCUGAUGCUUCGCGAAGCCCAUCCCCUCGGAAUUCAAAUGGUGAUGAGUAAGCUCUCUUGGAUGAAAAUUCUGGAGACACCUUGAGCAUGAGCAGUGCAGCUGUAGCUGUUGUGAAAAUGUUGAAUCUUCUGGUCAAUGUUAAUGAUCUAAUCAGUCAUUGAAGAAUUUUAUGAUCUAUGUGCUGUUUGUUGUGAUCGGGAAAAGUGAUGGGCCUGAUUGGUGCAUGUUGACAUUGUUGCUGUUGAUGCUGUUUCUAGUCAUUGAUGAUGAGUGGUCGUGAGUUGUACCCGGUUGCAAGAGUAUGCUGGUUUUAGGAGUAUGAUUGUAUUUUGCCGUGCUGGUUUGACAGACACUAAGUAGACUUGGUUUUUUCCUGAAUGGUCUGAUUAUUGGUAAGCUCUUUGGUUACUUGCUUAUUUUUCCUCAGAAUUCUUAUCUUUGAUUUGCCGUGUUUGUUCUUAAUCGGAACAAAGUUGUCCUGAAAGGGAUUCUCAUUGCUGUGACGGACACAAGUUGCACAUUUUUUGACAUGUAGCUGAAGCCCCUGUAGGAGUUGGAUCAUUCAUUUGUUGAUUCAGAUGCAGAUACUAAACAUAAAUCGUGAGAACUAAAUAUGAACUAUAAUUUGCUGGUGUUUUAGUUCGAACUAUAAUGAAGUUGACAAUGGUAACAUGUUCAUUGUUACUUUUUAAGGGUAUUUUACUGGUAACUUAUUUAAUAUUCACCUUUAUAAUAUCUGCUACUUAAUGUAGUGAGAUAUAUUUGUUGUAGCACGCUGCUCCAUGAAACUGUAGCUGUGCGAUGGUAGCAGAUGCAUCUUUUUUGUGAAAUGAGUGAUCGUGAAUAAUUUGAAGAACUAACCAAUGACUGUAGCUGACUGUUGCUGCCCUAUUUGUUGUGGUCGGGUUGGCAAUGGUAUUAGCAGUUCGUACUGCCAAUAGCUGUCUCAUGAUGCUGAUGGUUUCUGUUGAUUCCAAAGCUGCCUGACAGAAUUUUCACUAUUAAGCUGGUGAAACCGUUCCUGUUAGUCAGUCUUUCACAGAUUCUAUUAUGAGUCAAAUCAUUUGUUCGUUAAUUAAACUGUUCGCUCAUUUGUCAUUUGUUGCUAUAUCAUUAUGAUCACCCUUGCCAAUAGUGGUGUAGUUAGGAGGUAAAACACAUACAUUUGAUUAUGGUGUGUCCAACUAUAACUGUUGUCUCAGUAAAAUUUGAGUAGUCCUGUGCCCAUAUGAUUGGAAGAAUUAACUGAUGUUAGUGUCGAUUAUUAUUCUGGGAUGGUUGCAAUCUCUACAGUAAGAAUUCUGAAUCGGUAAUAUGUAUGGUUGAGCGAAUAAUUGAAUGAUAUUGCAUUCUCUUUUGCAGCAGUAUUCUGUGCUGUGGUAUGAAGGCUUAUUGUAGAGCUACAUUAGUUGAAUGAAUAUAUGUGCUUAUGGACGUGUCUUCAUCAUCUUCCUCAGUGUUUUUCACUUAACUUUAAAUGAGAUAAAGCAAAGGAGAAAAAGAUA